rnacentral:rRNA from 1 species
AGAGUUCGAUCCUGGCUCAAGAUGAACGCUAGCGAUAUGCUUAACACAUGCAAAUCGGACGGAAAGCAAUGUUUCCAGUGGCGGAUGGGUGACUAACACGUAAGAACCUGCCCUUUGGAGGGGAACAACAACUGGAAAUGGUUGCUAAUACCUCGUCGGCUGAGAAGUAAAAGAAAGAAUCCGUCCGAGGAGGGGCUCAUGUCUGAUUAGCUAGUUGGUGAGGCAAUAACUUAUCAAGACGAUAAUUAGUAGCUGGUCCGAGAGGAUGAUCAGUCAUACUGGGACUGAGACAUAGCCUAGACUCCUACAGGAGGUAGCAAUGGAGAAUUUUGCACAAUAGAUGAAAGCCUGAUGGAGCAAUGCCGCGUGGAGGUAGAAGGCCCACGGGUCGUGAACUUUUUUUUCGAAAAAAAGCAAUGACGGUAUCUGAGAAAUAAGUAUCGGCUAACUCUGUGCCAGUAGCCACAAUAAGACAGAGGAUGCAAGCAUUAUUUGGAAUGAUUGGGCGUAAAGUAUCUGUAGGUGGCUUUUCAAGUCCAUCAUCAAAUCCCAAGGCUCAACCCUAGACAGACGGUGGAAACUACCAAGCUGGAGUACGGUAGGGGCAGAGAAAAUUUUCGAUGGAGCGGUGAAAUGCAUAGAGAUCGGAAAGAACACCAACGACGAAAGCACUCUACUGGGCCAACACUGACACUGAGAGAAGAAAGCUAGGGGAGCAAAUGGGAUUAGAUACCCCAGUAGUCCUAGCCAUAAACGAUGGAUAUUAGGCACUGUGCAUAUCGACCCAUGCAGUACUAUAGCUAAUGCAUUAAGUAUCCCAUCUGGGGAGUACGUUCGCAAGAAUGAAACUCAAAGAAAUUGACAGGGCCGUACAAGCGGUGGAGCAUGUAGUUUAAUUCGAUGCAAAGCGAAGAACCUUUUCAGGGCUUGACAUGCUGCAAAUUUUUUUGAAAGAGAGGGGUACCUUCGAGAAUGUGGAUAUAGGUGGUGCAUGGCUAUCAUCAACUCGUGCCGUAAGGUGUUGGGUUAAGUCCCACAACGAGCGCAACCCUCAUGUUUAGUUACCACCGUUGAGUUUGGAACCUUGAACAGAUUGUUGGUGAUAAGUUGGAGGAAGGUGAGGAUGACGUCAAGUCAUCAUGCCCCUUAUGCCCUAGACGACACACGUGCUACAAUGGCCGAAACAAAGGGUCACGAUCCCACGAGGGUGAGCUAACUCCAAAAAUCCAUCCUCAGAUCAGAUUGCAGGUUGCAACUCACCUACAUGAAGCCAGAAUUGCUAGCAAUCGCUGAUCAGCCAUAUGGUGGUGAAUUUAUUUUCAGACCUUGUAUACACCAUCCGUCACACUAUGGGAGCUGAUCAUGCCCGAAGUCAUUACCUUAACCACAAGGAGAGGGAUGCUGAAGGCGGGGCUAGUGAUUGGAGUGAAGUCAUAACAAGAUAGUCGUACUGGAAGGUGCAGUUG